GAUCCAGACUCCUACGGGAGGCAGCAGUGAGGAAUAUUGGUCAAUGGCCGAGAGGCUGAACCAGCCAAGUCGCGUGAGGGAAGAAUGUCCUAUGGCUUGUAAACCUCUUUUGUCAGGGAGCAAAGUCACCCACGUGUGGGUGUUGGAGAGUACCUGAAGAAAAAGCAUCGGCUAACUCCGUGCCAGCAACCGCGGUAAUACGGAGGAUGCGAGCGUUAUCCGGAUUUAUUGGGUUUAAAGGGUGCGCAGGCGGAGGUGCAAGUCAGCGGUCAAAUUGCGGGGCUCAACCCCGUACUGCCGUUGAAACUGGCAGUCUCGAGUUGGAGAGAAGUAUGCGGAAUGCGCGGUGUAGCGGUGAAAUGCAUAGAUAUCGCGCAGAACUCCGAUUGCGAAGGCAGCAUGCCGGCUCCACACUGACGCUGAGGCACGAAAGCGUGGGUAUCGAACAGGAUUAGAUACCCGUGUA
rnacentral:rRNA from 1 species